AUGGUCUUUGCAGAGAUGGACAAUAUUUCUGGAAAGCUCCAAGGAUCCGGGCAAGGUGACUCGAUCGAGGCGACAGUGUCUGCAGUGUGGGGGCGAGCAGGCAGCACAGCCACCUUGCGAUGCACUUACAGCUCCGACUCCUCCUAUAUUUAUGUGGCCUGGUAUCGGCAGCGUCCCGGCAGGGCCCUGCAGUACAUUGUGCAGAGCAAGGGCCGGGGAGGCUCAUACAGCCACUCAGCUCCUCUGGCCCACAAGAGGUUUUCUGGGCGGGCUGAUGAGAGCUCGGGCACCUUGAGCAUCGCGGCGCUGGAAGAGGCCAACAGUGCGCUCUAUUACUGCAGCCUGCAGGGAGCAUAG